rnacentral:misc_RNA from 1 species
AAAAUAUGUAUUUUAUGAGUAUAUAAUAAUUAUUAUUUUUAUUUUAAUAUGAUAAAAAAAAAUGGACUCACUCUAUUUGCAAAUAAAAAACUAGUAAAGGUCAAAAACUCUAACCUGCCCAUCACCAAUACUGCGGCUGCCCAUUACCAGUACUGGGGCUGCCCGUCUCAGAUUUAUUAUUAUUUUUUUUUAAAAGCCCAUCUCAGAUUUUUUUUUAUAUAUAAAGAUUUUUUGGUUUGACCAAUGGGGAUUGGGAUGGGCUCAAGGCUCAGGUGAAGAACAUGGGCUCCAAUUCCAAAUACACUCUCUCAAUCUUUUUCUAAAUUUGGCAUAUACUGACAUUGUUUCUUCUUUCCAUUGGUUGAGUCAUUUGCAGCCAGCUCCAAAUGGGCAUUACAGCAAACAGCCUGCACAUGGAGGUUUGGUGGGGGGGAAUUCUCAUGGGUAUCUUAAGUUAAAAGACUCAGACUAUUGCCAAGAGAGGAUUACACAAAUAUUCCCAAUAUCUUAAUUAAUUAUAUUUAUAAAUAUUUUACUCCCAUUUAAUAUUUUUGUAGCCUCAGGUGAUUAAAAAUUAUAUUUAUAAGAAAAUAAUCAAAAGACCAAUUCAAAUACACAAAAUACAUUUUUGUUUUGACCUUCCAGAAUAACAAAGGAAUUUCAGCCCAUAUUGUAAGGUUAGGUGUUGAUUAAUUGGCCAAUAAAAUUUCCAAAGGAAUGAGGUGGAGAGAUGUGACAAUUCAAGUUUCCUAUUGUACCCAUGAACAAUUAACCAAUUCACAUAAUCUUGAAAGAGAAAAAGAGAGAGAAUAAGGAAAGAAAAGAAACUUACAGCUUCAAUAUCAAUUUUGUAGACCAGAAGCUUUCUUCUUUCUCUGCAACUUGUUCUAUAUGCCACAAUAAUAUGACCAAUUGCUAAGAGCCAUGAGCAAACAAACAAGGCAAUUUCCAUGGCUUUUGCAUACUCUCCUCUAUCAAUACUUGAAACACUAAACACAUAUGGUGCUUUUAAUGACACAUAAAUUAGAGAUAACACAGAACAUAUAGUGGUAAUCCCCAAGUAUGGCCCUCUUGAAAGCCUGGGUCCAUCACACAAGCUAUAAACACAGAUGAUGACUGCUGAUCUUAUGAUGGAUAUGAGGGGAAUAUCAAUGAGAGAGUAUCUAAAAUCAUAGUUAUUGAAAUGGGAAGAGAGGGUUUUGAAUGAUAAAGAAGAAGGGGAAAGAGAAGCAGAGAGAAGAGAAAAGGGAAGAAGGGUGUCAGCAAUAACAAGAAGAACAGGAACAGAGAAAAAAAGGAAAGAGAUCAACAUAGUAAUCAAGAAGAAGAGAGUCUUUAUAACUCUCAAUACUCUUAUUGAUUUCUCUUCCAUAGAAAAACCCAUCUUGAUUCUUGGGGCUCUUGAAUCCUAUGUACAAGAAUAAUAAUAAGAAGAAGAAGAA